CACAAAUGAAAGACGGAAGAAGGUGACUCGGCAGGAUGUCGCGUCCUGGUCCUACGUAGUUUGUCAGACACAAACAUCAGAGUCGACGUAGUUCGGGGAUAUGGGAAACGUGCUCGCUAGGAUGUCGCAUCCUGUGCAUACGUAUCUUCUCUAAAAAGAGAAAGAAUCAGAGCACUCGUAGCUCGGCUAACGUACGCCAAACAAAACACAAACAGAGACGCUGAGACGUCAAAG
rnacentral:lncRNA from 1 species